rnacentral:rRNA from 1 species
UACGGAGGGUGCAAGCGUUGCUCGGAAUUAUUGGGCGUAAAGGGUAGGUAGGUGGUCUCGUUUGUCUGGGGUGAAAGCCUUGAGCUUAACUCAAGAAGUGCCUCAGAAACGGCGAGACUAGAGUUCUGGAGAGGGUCGUGGAAUUCCCGGUGUAGCGGUGAAAUGCGUAGAGAUCGGGAGGAACACCAGAGGCGAAGGCGGCGACCUGGACAGAUACUGACACUCAACUACGAAAGCGUGGGUAGCAAACAGG